CGGUCUCAGAUCCGCUUGGCGUUCACAUAUGCAUUUGAAGCGCCCCAAAGUUCACUACAACCGAACCGAGACCGAGGGUUCAUACAUUUUCCCAAUUCAAGCACUUUUCAAGCAUUUUCAAGCGAUGCUAAAGAGGCUAGGAGAAAAUCCUUGAAGCACAACAGCCACAGUCAGCAAACACAUGGGAGCCAUGAAUGCGGUUUGAAUGCAUAUAUGAACACCAAGCGGACCAGACACAGGAAGUGGACUACAGCGCAGGGCAUUUUGGGUAAAUACAACCAAAGCAAACAUGUUAGCCUAGUGCUAGCAGAAGAAAUUACUCUUGUUUUUUUCUAAACAAAAAAGAAACGGCUAAAAUCUGAUGCUUCUCCACUUUUGCUGAUAUAACAUAAGAA